rnacentral:sRNA from 1 species
UAACGAGACGAUGAGAUGACAAGUCACAUUUGGUGUUAGGACCUAGAUAUCACGUGAUUCACGUCUUGAGGAGACUCAUUUUCUGGGACACAAAGGAUAUACAAAACUCGUUUUUGAACUUCAGUGUUGAAACAAUUCUUGCUGUUGUAUUGACGAAACAAAUAUUUUUAUAUUAAAUUAAACCAAUUUAGGUCUUUUUCUAAAAGUACUUCCCCUGCCGUUAGUAGCCCAAUUGUCUCCCUUACCAUCAAAUCUGCUACAUAAUUGGCGAUGAUCUAAGAAGACAUGGAAGCGGUGACAGGCAGGACGCCUCAAUGGAUGACACUUGAUGUGGUCACCGCUGACACCAAUGGCGAUCUGCCGACUGAAAUUGUAGGAUGUAUUCCAACAUGGUUAUCUGGCUGUCUCUUCAGGAAUGGUGCCGGUCUAUACAAAGUCAAUGACACGAAGAUUCGUCACUUCUUCGAUGGUUUCUCGGUCAUUCAUAAAUUUAAUGUUCGAGAUGGCCAGGUAACCUACCGGUCAUCUCUGCUGGACACUAACACAGUUGCCGAAGCUAUGGGUAUAAAGAGGCUGGUGCCAACCAAGAGUGGGCCUAAGUCAAUCCCAGAUCCAUGCAAAAGCGUCUUCA